UCCUCUAUGCCCUGCCCAUAAAUUAUCAUGAAACUCCUUUAAUAAUUUUAAUUUUUCUUCCUUUUUGCCCAUCACUCGUUGUGGCAUCCCAAUUCCUUUCUUCGGUCUCUUCCAUAAGAAUCCAUCUCAAAGCAAAAAUCCAUAUGCUUUUUUUCUUAUUUGUUUGAAUUUUUUUGUAAACCAAUUCCCUUGCUUAGUCAAGGUAUUCAAGUAAUGACCAAUAUCCAAUAAUUCUCCUUCAUAAGAUUCUUCAAGAAAUAGCUUAUCUUCUCUAUUGAGAUUUGAUAUUGAAUAGAAUUUCAAUCCGACAUCAUCAAUGUCUUCAACCAUUUCGUCUUCCCUCUUGUAUCUUGCUCGAGAUAGCAUGUCUGCUACUAAAUUGUCCUUCCCAGUAACAUGCUUAAAUUCCGGAUUUAGUGACUUAAUAUAAGCAAUCCAUCUCAACAUUACAACAUCUGACAUUGAACAGUUAGUAAUCAUUCUAAGCAAUGGCAAGCAAUCUGUUUCAAUUACUACCACUACCCCAA
rnacentral:lncRNA from 1 species